CGCAUAAAUUGUUGAGACACACCUCUAAACAAAAGAACGGAAAGUUUUCAGCUCUUCACGGUUGAAGACGGGAAGUUUUAGCAGAAGUAUUCUAGGUAAAAUUAGGCUUUUUUGUGGACGAUGGUUAGUCCUUUUUUAAUCGAUUGUGCGUGGUGUAGAAGGCAUCACAAUCCACAGCGAAUUUUGCUGCUAAGCAAAUCACGUCUCGUUUUAUAGCUUGGUUUGACCGUUAUUAGUUGGCUUUGAAGUUUGUAGGUAUUGCGAAGUUAACCUCCAGGCGACUAUCCUUCUAGCUAACCGUAUAUUCUUAAUAACAGAAAGUGCUGCUUCAAUUUAUCUCAGGUUUUCGUCUACCACGCGGCAGAGGCAACUUCUUUACCAUCAAGAUCAAACAUUUUCUCCCAACCGGUCAUUUACAGCUUCCGUUGUGUUGUGUUACAGAUUCACACGAUAGAGAACACAGCAAUUUUGACGGACUGGGUCGAGGAAACGAAACGCAAACCAAGCAAGAUAAAUGUUGCCUUAUCGGCUCGCUUGUCAGGACUGUGGUGUGAAGUUUGACACCAUCCGCCGCUUCAAGCAGCAUGUCCGCAGGAAGCAACAUCAACAGGGCUGGAACAAUAGCCAGUAGCUCUGCAGGAAGACUGUUUGCUGCCCCUGCCAUAGGAACACUGCCUGUACAAACCACAGCAGGAAAUCAAGCAAGUGGCAGAGCUCUUCCAGACAGAUGAGUACCACGGUCAAGUCUACUUUGCCCCUUUCUUGGUUCUGGAGCAUCUGGCCAGGAAACCCACAAACACCCCAUAUCCCAUCAUCGGUCUGUGCCUGGUGACAUUGUGUGUGAGUCCAGAGGGGAGGGAUACUUUCUACCUUUGUCACAGUUGUGAGGAGAAGUGUGGCCCAGGACAGAUCAUAGACCACCUCCUCUCUGCUGACCACCUCUCCAACUACUAUAGCUACACAGACCCUGAUGUGUUGAGUUUCUCCUGGAUGCCUAACAUGGAUAUGUUGAACCUCCUACGGCCGCUAGCUGUCAAAGAGAUGGACAAGGAUGGACCUGGAGUGCUACGGGUGCUGGACAUGCCUAAGAGUGUGUCUGUGAAAUUGAAGACAAGUGGCUACUCUAAAGUCAUGCAGGCCCUGACUCAGACUGACAGGCUGGCUGAGUGUAUCAGAGCUGACAGACCAGAAAGGAUGACUAUACAAGAGUACCACAGAGACCCCAACAGGAAACACCCUCUGCUGGGUCUACAGCACCUGGUGGAGUACUGCUGUGAAGGGCAUGGCCAAAGGAGAUCCUACCUCUGUCAGCUCUGCCGCCUCCCUGUCCCCUCACGGAGGGUCAUCCAACACACACUCGGCUUCGACCACCUCUACUGGUACUUCAAGGUGUUUCACCCCUCCACCCUCCUGAUGAAGGACUGUUAUAAAGAGUACAGCUGCAGGUUCAUCGCCAUGAUCCUGGACCUGGCCAAUCAGGUGCAAGACAUCAGUCAGUCAGCCAAUAUGGAGAUACAGCAAGUUGUGUUGGAACCAGCAGUGUUCUCCUCAGUUGAGUUUUCUGUCUACACAGAGGCUCUGAGGAAGUUGCAGACCAUUAGGAGAGCUCGUAAGGAGGGCAGCCUUAAGACCAGCAUUAUACCUGGAGACAAACUGGUUCCUUCCUCAGAAGGGUCAAAGAUUACCAAAGAUGUUACCAUGACUAAUGUUGCUGAGGCUGUUCCUAUGGAGACCAAGUCAAGCCCAGUGAAGACCUAUGUCACACCUACAGCUGUUGAGACUGUAGCUACAGCAAGUACUGCUCCAGUUGUUACCAAAGCUACUAGCCAGAGGGGGACCUGUCGACUGCACUGUCAGGACUGCAACGUGGUAUGUGAGUCUGUGUCGCAGUACAAGUUACAUGUGCGUCACUGGAAACACAAGGAGAUGCUAGGAGUUAUCUUUGAACCAGGUACUAGUGAUGUUGACCACCAACCAUAAAAAAUCAACUUCUGCAUCGUUUCCCCAUCAUGCUGUACAUCUUUUGAGAGUUACAUUGUUUAUGAACUAACUAUUUUUUUUCUUUCUCAG
ensembl:lncRNA